UCAAGUGAAGAAGCGCAUACGGUGGAUGCCUUGGCAGUCAGAGGCGAUGAAAGACGUGGUAGCCUGCGAAAAGCUUCGGGGAGUCGGCAAACAGACUUUGAUCCGGAGAUCUCUGAAUGGGGGAACCCACCUAGGAUAACCUAGGUAUCUUGUACUGAAUCCAUAGGUGCAAGAGGCGAACCAGGGGAACUGAAACAUCUAAGUACCCUGAGGAAAAGAAAUCAACCGAGAUUCCCUUAGUAGUGGCGAGCGAACGGGGAUUAGCCCUUAAGCUUCAUUGAUUUUAGCGGAACGCUCUGGAAAGUGCGGCCAUAGUGGGUGAUAGCCCCGUACGCGAAAGGAUCUUUGAAGUGAAAUCGAGUAGGACGGAGCACGAGAAACUUUGUCUGAACAUGGGGGGACCAUCCUCCAAGGCUAAAUACUACUGACUGACCGAUAGUGAACCAGUACCGUGAGGGAAAGGCGAAAAGAACCCCGGCGAGGGGAGUGAAAUAGAACCUGAAACCGUGUACGUACAAGCAGUGGGAGCACCUUCGUGGUGUGACUGCGUACCUUUUGUAUAAUGGGUCAGCGACUUAUAUUUUGUAGCAAGGUUAACCGUAUAGGGGAGCCGUAGGGAAACCGAGUCUUAACUGGGCGAAUAGUUGCAAGGUAUAGACCCGAAACCCGGUGAUCUAGCCAUGGGCAGGUUGAAGGUUGGGUAACACUAACUGGAGGACCGAACCGACUAAUGUUGAAAAAUUAGCGGAUGACUUGUGGCUGGGGGUGAAAGGCCAAUCAAACCGGGAGAUAGCUGGUUCUCCCCGAAAGCUAUUUAGGUAGCGCCUCGUGAACUCAUCUUCGGGGGUAGAGCACUGUUUCGGCUAGGGGGCCAUCCCGGCUUACCAAACCGAUGCAAACUCCGAAUACCGAAGAAUGUUAUCACGGGAGACACACGGCGGGUGCUAACGUCCGUCGUGAAGAGGGAAACAACCCAGACCGCCAGCUAAGGUCCCAAAGUCAUGGUUAAGUGGGAAACGAUGUGGGAAGGCACAGACAGCCAGGAUGUUGGCUUAGAAGCAGCCAUCAUUUAAAGAAAGCGUAAUAGCUCACUGGUCGAGUCGGCCUGCGCGGAAGAUGUAACGGGGCUAAACCAUGCACCGAAGCUGCGGCAGCGACGCUUAGGCGUUGUUGGGUAGGGGAGCGUUCUGUAAGCCGUUGAAGGUGGCCUGUGAGGGUUGCUGGAGGUAUCAGAAGUGCGAAUGCUGACAUAAGUAACGAUAAAGCGGGUGAAAAGCCCGCUCGCCGGAAGACCAAGGGUUCCUGUCCAACGUUAAUCGGGGCAGGGUGAGUCGACCCCUAAGGCGAGGCUGAAAAGCGUAGUCGAUGGGAAACAGGUUAAUAUUCCUGUACUUGGUGUUACUGCGAAGGGGGGACGGAGAAGGCUAGGCUGGCCGGGCGACGGUUGUCCCGGUUUAAGCGUGUAGGGGGUGUGACCUGGUAAAUCCGGUUGCAUACUAACCCUGAGGCGUGAUGACGAUGCACUACGGUGCAGAAGUAGUUGAUGCCCUGCUUCCAGGAAAAGCCUCUAAGCUCCAGGUAACAUUAAAUCGUACCCCAAACCGACACAGGUGGUCAGGUAGAGAAUACCAAGGCGCUUGAGAGAACUCGGGUGAAGGAACUAGGCAAAAUGGUGCCGUAACUUCGGGAGAAGGCACGCUGGCAUGUAGGUGAAGUCCCUUGCGGAUGGAGCUGAAGCCAGUCGAAGAUACCAGCUGGCUGCAACUGUUUAAUAAAAACACAGCACUGUGCAAACACGAAAGUGGACGUAUACGGUGUGACGCCUGCCCGGUGCCGGAAGGUUAAUUGAUGGGGUUAGCGGUAAGGCGAAGCUCUUGAUCGAAGCCCCGGUAAACGGCGGCCGUAACUAUAACGGUCCUAAGGUAGCGAAAUUCCUUGUCGGGUAAGUUCCGACCUGCACGAAUGGCGUAAUGAUGGCCAGGCUGUCUCCACCCGAGACUCAGUGAAAUUGAACUCGCUGUGAAGAUGCAGUGUACCCGCGGCAAGACGGAAAGACCCCGUGAACCUUUACUAUAGCUUGACACUGAACAUUGAGCCUUGAUGUGUAGGAUAGGUGGGAGGCUUUGAAGCGUGGACGCCAGUCUGCGUGGAGCCAUCCUUGAAAUACCACCCUUUAAUGUUUGAUGUUCUAACUCGGCCCCAUAAUCUGGGGUGAGGACAGUGUCUGGUGGGUAGUUUGACUGGGGCGGUCUCCUCCCAAAGAGUAACGGAGGAGCACGAAGGUUAGCUAAUCACGGUCGGACAUCGUGAGGUUAGUGCAAAGGCAUAAGCUAGCUUGACUGCGAGAGUGACGGCUCGAGCAGGUACGAAAGUAGGUCUUAGUGAUCCGGUGGUUCUGAAUGGAAGGGCCAUCGCUCAACGGAUAAAAGGUACU
rnacentral:rRNA from 1 species